CUGGCGGCACGCCUAACACAUGCAAGUCGAACGGUGUAUUGGAGCUUGCUUUGAUAACAUAGUGGCGGACGGGUGAGUAACACGUGAGCAACCUGCCUCUGAGAGAGGGAUAGCUUCUGGAAACGGAUGGUAAUACCUCAUAACAUAACGAAACCGCAUGAUUUUGUUAUCAAAGAUUUAUCACUCAGAGAUGGGCUCGCGUCUGAUUAGGUAGUUGGUGAGGUAACGGCUCACCAAGCCGACGAUCAGUAGCCGGACUGAGAGGUUGAACGGCCACAUUGGGACUGAGACACGGCCCAGACUCCUACGGGAGGCAGCAGUGAGGGAUAUUGCACAAUGGAGGAAACUCUGAAUGCAGCGAUGCCGCGUGGAGGAAGAAGGUUUUCGGAUUGUAAACUCCUGUUUCGAGGGACGAUAAUGACGGUACCUCGGGAGGAAGCUCCGGCUAACUACGUGCCAGCAGCCGC
rnacentral:rRNA from 1 species